GGCCUAUCAGCUUGUUGGUGGGGUAACGGCCUACCAAGGCUCCGACGGGUAGCUGGCCUGACAGGACGACCAGCCACACUGGGACUGAGACACGGCCCAGACUCCUACGGGAGGCAGCAGUGGGGAAUCUUGGACAAUGGGCGCAAGCCUGAUCCAGCCAUGCCGCGUGGGUGAUGAAGGCCCUAGGGUUGUAAAGCCCUUUCGGCGGGGAAGAUAAUGACGGUACCCGCAGAAGAAGCCCCGGCUAACUUCGUGCCAGCAGCCGCGGUAAUACGAAGGGGGCUAGCGUUGCUCGGAAUCACUGGGCGUAAAGCGCACGUAGGCGGAUUGCUAAGUCAGGGGUGAAAUCCUGGAGCUCAACUCCAGAACUGCCUUUGAUACUGGCGAUCUCGAGUCCGGGAGAGGUGAGUGGAACUGCGAGUGUAGAGGUGAAAUUCGUAGAUAUUCGCAAGAACACCAGUGGCGAAGGCGGCUCACUGG
rnacentral:rRNA from 1 species